CAGACAUGAAACAGGUGUCUGAGUGAUAUGUGUGUGUGAUAUUGUGUAGAAUUCACUUUUGUCAACACUGCUAUAGAUGAAUGUGAGUCAUGUAAACAAACAAAUCUACAUAAAGUAACUAAACAUAAGUUAUCUAUUUUAUUUGUCCAUUUGCAAUAUGGAUAAUUUAAGGAACAUUUUUGUUGGAUAAAAAGUGAGUUACAUCAGUUAUUAGUUCAACAUGUAAAUGCAGUAUAUCACAGAUAUAUGACAGAGGAGACUGACUCUUGUCUGGAUGUUACAGGAACAGAUGAGACACAUAUGUGUUUAUCUGCUGUAGAGUAACUGAUGAAGGAAUGUUGCCAUCAAAGGAUUUGUAUCUUUUGUGGUGGAGCAGGACCUGCAAGGAAAGAUGAAAAAGAGGGAAAACCUGAAACAAAAGAAUAAUGGGCCUACAAUCCCCUGAUCAACCUGGAGAAGAGAGCCUUGCUCAAGGACACACUGGUGUUCCUGUGGCUCAAGUGGUAGAGCAUUGUGUUAGCAGUGCAAGGUUUUGGGUUCGAAUACCAGGGAACACAUGUUAGGUAAAAACUGUUAGUCUGAAUGCACUGUAAGUCACUUUGGAUAAAUGUAUAAUUUAUUUAUAAAUUUGAACCACUUCAGUGGUUUAGCCCACUACAAAAGUAAUAAAUCAAUGCAUGUACUUGUAAACUCUGUGUAAAUGUUUUUCAUAUAGUCGUGCUCAUGGGGUGCAGGCACAUAAAAAAGUUUGGAGCAGACACAGCAGUCAGAUUGUCCUGCACGUGUUCCCCUGCUCUCGCUUCAAGGUUUUGUGGUUCAGAGAGCCGUCAUCAAGGUCUUCCUCAUCCUGUUGCUCAACGACAUCCCUGUUGAGAAGAGUGAGAUUGUUAAGUGCAGCAGAACUGUAUCAGCUGUGUUCAGAUCGCAGGAGGAUGUUGGUUUCACCAUCUGUAAAUACAUGAUUGUUAGAACAAUAAGUUUGAAUGAAGCUUUGUAUCAUGUGUUGUUGACUUGUGCAUGUAUGCAUUUAUUGUGAUGCUAACUUUUAUACAUUAUUUUAAUCAUUUAGACAUGUUUUUUUGUUCUCAGUAAAUAAAAUAUAAAUAUUUUAUCCAUUCAUGUAUUAAUUGCUUGACUGAAAAUGGA